AAAAACAAGCUACUCUACAACUACAGGGGCUAUAUUUUAAAUGGGCCGAAAAUUGGCUACUGUGCAAAUGGCUAAUUUUGUAAGUACGACAAUUUGUGAGCAAUUACUGUAAACUAAAAAUUUCAUCCUCCUUCCUCAAUAAACUGAAAUUUCACUCAAGUAAUUCAAAGCUUCACCAAAUGAACCCAAAAUAAACUGACCCGACCCGAUUUUUGCCGGCGAUUUACCGUCGGAAUCGACAAAUUCAUCAUACUUCGCCGGAGAAAAUGGCACUUCGAGUAGACUCCGACGAAUCGACCAACAUAGAUUCAUAUUCCUCGAAAUUCGGGACACCGGAAUCAUUAGAAGAAGUGCGAAAACUCACCGACGUCGGAGCAAUGACUAGACUUCUCCACGAAUGUAUUGCUUAUCAACGGGGACUAGAUCUAGAACUCGAUACAAUACUUUCGCAUCGAACUGACCUUGAUAAACAGUUGUCAAGCUUGCAAAAAUCUGCACAAGUACUCGAUAUUGUUAAAGCAGAUGCCGAACAUUUGUGUGCCAGUGUGAGUUCUACGUCGUUGCUUGCUGAUCAAGUAAGCGCUAAAGUGCGUCAGUUAGAUCUAGCGCAAUCGCGUGUUAAUGAUACGCUGUUGCGUAUUGAUGCGAUUGUUGAUCGGUCUCAUUGCCUUGACGGUGUGCGGAAGGCGCUUGAUUCGGAGGAUUAUGAAUCUGCUGCAAGUUUUGUCCAGACAUUUCUUCAGCUUGAUGCGAAGUAUAAGGAUUCAGCUGCUUCGGAUCAGAGAGAGCAGUUGCUCUCUUCUAAGAAGCAGCUUGAAGGAAUCGUGAGGAGGAAAUUGGGAGAAGCAGUUGAUCAGCGUGAUCAUUCGACGGUUUUGAGGUUUAUAAGGCUGUAUCCGCCAUUGGCAUUGGAGGAGGAGGGGUUGCAAGUUUACGUGGCAUAUUUGAAGAAGGUUAUUGCUAUGAGAUCGCGUAUUGAGUAUGAACAAUUGGUGGAAAUGAUGAGUGAUCACCGGGGAAAUAGUCAGAAUGAGGUUAAUUUUGUGUCAUGUUUGACUAAUUUGUUUAAAGAUAUUGUCUUGGCUAUUGAAGAGAAUGAUGAAACUCUACGGAGCUUGUGUGGAGAGGAUGGGAUUGUUUAUGCGAUAUGUGAGCUGCAAGAAGAGUGUGAUUCUCGUGGUUCGACUAUUAUAAAGAAGUAUAUGGAGUAUAGGAAACUAGUGAAAGUGACUUCGGAGAUUAAUUCUUACAAGAGUGAUUUGCUGUCUGUUGGAGUUGAAGGACCGGACCCUAGGGAGAUCGAAGUGUAUUUGGAGGAGAUAUUGUCUUUGACGCAGUUGGGUGAGGAUUAUACGGGGUAUAUGAUAUCGAAGAUUAGGGGCUUGAGUUCUGUUGAUCCUGAAUUAGGUCCCCGUGCUACAAAGGCAUUUAGGAGUGGUAAUUUCAGUAAAGUUGUGCAAGAUAUUACUGGUUAUUAUGUGAUCUUGGAAGGGUACUUCAUGGUUGAGAAUGUGAGGAAAGCGAUAAAAAUUGAUGAACUCGCGUUUGAUAGUCUCACAACUUCCAUGGUGGACGAUGUCUUCUAUGUUCUGCAGAGCUGUUGUCGAAGGUCCAUAUCCACUUCAAAUAUCAACUCUGUGAUUGCAGUUUUAAGCAAUGCUGUAAGUCUAUUGGGUGGUGAGUACAAUGAGGCUUUGCAGCAGAAGAUCAGAGAGCCUAAUCUUGGAGCAAAGCUGUUCACCGGUGGCGUUGCUGUUCAAAAGACGGGUACGGAGAUUGCCACGGCUUUGAAUAAUAUGGAUGUGAGUGGUGAGUAUGCAUUGAAAUUACGACAUGAGAUUGAAGAACAAUGUGCUGAGGUGUUUCCUGCACCAGCAGAUAGAGAGAGGGUCAAAUCAUGUUUAUCUGAAUUAAAUGAGAUGAACAAUGGUUUCAAGAAGGCCUUGAACAUUGGUUUGGAACAAUUAGUAGCUACUGUGACACCUCGAAUUCGGCCAGUGUUGGAUACUGUUGCAACAAUCAGCUAUGAGCUGUCUGAAUCUGAAUAUGCUGAUAAUGAGGUAAAUGACCCAUGGGUUCAAAGGCUUCUCCAUGCUGUAGAGACCAAUGUGGCUUGGCUUCAACCAUUGAUGACUGCUAACAAUUAUGACUCCCUUGUGCAUCUGGUCAUCGACUUUGUUGUUAAGAGGCUUGAGGUUAUCAUGAUGCAAAAGAGAUUCAGUCAACUUGGAGGUCUUCAACUUGAUAGAGAUGUUCGAGCCCUUGUGAGCUACUUCUCCAACAUGACCCAGAGGACUGUUAGGGACAAAUUUUCUCGUCUAACCCAAAUGGCUACAAUUUUAAACUUGGAGAAGGUAUCUGAAAUUCUGGAUUUCUGGGGUGAAAAUUCAGGACCCAUGACCUGGAGACUUACUCCAGCUGAGGAAUGGCAGUACUGUUGGUAUGGCUAUAGGGAUCAUCUUGAAAGAACAGACGUUUGCAACAUAUAUCAAAAUUCCAUAUGAUACCUGCAGCAAUUCACUUCUGAAACUUCUGUUAAAGACUGUAGGUUCCAUUUGCCUAUAAUGGUCGUAUUGUUAGCCACUUUGUUGCUCAGGUGAACUUUUUCUAGAUGCCUGAAGUCUAUGUAAUAUCACCUGUAAAGAUGAGGGUGUUCCUUGUCAUUCUUAAGAAAAUAGAGGUUAUCAAUCACCUACAAUCUCCUAAAUUAUUGUUUUAUAUUACAAGACAGGUCUUGAGGAAGGAGCCUUUGACAGUUUAUGGCGAUGCAAAGCAAACAAGAAGUUUCCAAUUUGUUUCAGACUUGGUAUCGCAAUGCUCUAUGUUUAUGUUUUCAGCGUUUACUACACCUUGUUUCCAAUUUGCUACUUUUAAGAUGUUCCACCAGUAUUCAUUUAAUUUGCUACUGCAAUGUGAAGUUGAAAAAAAAAAUACAGUUUCUUUGAUUGAACUUCAUGUCUCUGCACUGAGAGUCUCGCACUAAAAAAACUUGUUUAAAUAGAUUGUGCUGUUUCAAUUUGUCGGUGUGCAAAGCCUUUUCUGUAAUACAGUUAUGCUUAUAUAACGUGAUAAGAGAACUUGUAGUACUAAUUAUAAUGGGCCCUGUGAAGUUUUGUGAUUCUUAUCUUUCAAAGAUACGUAUAUAAAUAAUGGGGUAUGAUUUUGCUGUUUGUGAUAGGUUGAGGGCCUAAUGCGCUUGAUGGAUGGAGAACACGUGGGCCCUUCAACCUAGGAAACCCUGGUGAAUUCACAAUGCUUGAACUUGCAGGGGUGAUCCAGGAAACCAUUGAUCGAAAUGCUCAGAUUGAGUUCAGACCCAACACUGCAGAUGAUCCGCACAAGAGGCAGCCUGAUAUCUCAAAAGCUAAAGAGUUGCUUGGUUGGGAACCCAAGGUGCCUCUUAGGAAAGGUCUACCAAUGAUGGUACAAGACUUUAGGCAACGUAUAUUUGGUGACCACAAAGAAGAUAGCUCCUCAGUCUCUUCUGCAUAGUAAUGUUUUUGGACAUCAAUUUUGGUCAGGGACGAAAUGCAGUAGAGUAGAAGAUGACCCUGUUAUUUAUGUUCUAUCAGUACAGCAAAAAUUUACUUGGCAGAAGCCAGAGCUUUUUGUUCUUUGCUUAGUUUAAUAGGUCUUCAUAUAUGUCUGUCAAUUUUGUAUUUGGAUAUAUUCCAUUUUAACAAUUUUGUUGUGGACAUGAACCUCUAUAUUAUGAUAAUGAAUAGCUGAAACAAUUUUUCAUCCAA